rnacentral:rRNA from 1 species
AUUGAACGCUGGCGGCAGGCCUAACACAUGCAAGUCGAACGAGAGGCGGACGGAUGAGUAAUGUCUGGGAAACUGCCUGAUGGAGGGGGAUAACUACUGGAAACGGUAGCUAAUACCGCAAACCAUCGGAUGUGCCCAGAUGGGAUUAGCUAGUAAGUGGGGUAACGGCUCACCUAGGCGACGAUCCCUAGCUGGUCUGAGAGGAUGACCAGCCACACUGGAACUGAGACACGGUCCAGACUCCUACGGGAGGCAGCAGUGGGGAAUAUUGCACAAUGGGCGCAAGCCUGAUGCAGCCAGACCGCGGGGAUGAAGAAGGCCUUCGGGUUGUAAAGUACUUUCAGCGGGGAGGCGUUACCCGCAGAAGAAGCACCGGCUAACUCCGUCCCAGCAGCCGCGGUAAUAC